rnacentral:lncRNA from 1 species
AGAGAUUUAGAAAACAUGAGGAGAGCACAUUGCAGGUAAGAGAUGGCAUGGAACAUGCGCAAUGUCCAGAAAAUGUAUGCAGAGCCACGAAGCUGCAGGAGUGGGGAGACCGGAUUGGGCUGACGCAGCAGAGUAGGGAUUUCCUUGCAGUGGAAGGAUUAGCAAAGAAGGAGACCCCCAGUGUUCAUUCAUUCUGUUGCCCUUCAGAUUGAGGAAAUUGAGCGAGAGAUCAUCAAGCAGGAGGAGAAUGUGGACCCUGACUACUGGGAGAAGCUGCUGAGGCAUCACUAUGAGCAACAGCAGGAAGACCUAGCCCGGAAUCUAGGCAAGGGCAAGCGGGUUCGCAAGCAAGUUAACUACAAUGAUGCUGCUCAGGAAGACCAAGACAACCAGUCAGAGUACUCGGUGGGUUCAGAGGAGGAGGAUGAAGACUUCGAUGAACGUCCUGAAGGUGGCAUCUGUGUUCCUGACUCUACCUCACCUCUUCCCGUUUUAUUUUCCAGUUUGCUUUAAGCCCACUGUUUUUAUACAAGUAAAAAAGUCUUCGUGUGUGUGUGGAAAA